AAUGUACUCCCUCCGUCCCAAAAUUCUUGUCUUAGAUUUGUCUAAAUACGGAUGUAUCAAGUCACAUUUUAGUAUUAGAUACAUCCGUAUCUAGACAAAUUUAAGACAAGAAUUUUGGGACGGAGGGAGUAGUUU
rnacentral:pre_miRNA from 1 species